rnacentral:lncRNA from 10 species
UGAAGCAACAAAAGCAGAGAUUUAUUGAAUGAAAGUACACUCCAUAGAGUGGGAGUUGCCCGAGCACAGGGGCUCAAGAGCCCCAUUACAGAAUUUUCUGGGGUUUAAAUACCCUCUAGAGGUUUCCACUGGUUACUUGGUGUACACUCUAUGUAAAUGAAGAGGAUGAAGUAAAGUUACAAGUCAUUUACUCAGUGUAUGCCCUAUGUAAAUGGAAAGGAUAUUUCCUGUCAUAGCUGAAGUGUUUCCAUUUGAUUUAGUUCUAGGAAGUCAGCUUGCAUCGCCUUAUGUUCCCCGCUUCCAGACCCCAUUCUCCUGCCUCACCAAGAGCUUGAUUAGUAGAUCAAGUGAGCACAGGAAUGCCCACCCCACAUUUACACAGUUGCUGUCUGGACCUGCAGCGUCCAGUAGGGUAGCCACUAACCAUACAUGGUCACUGAGGUCGUGAAAUGUGGCUAUUGUGACCACAAAACAGAAUUUUUAAUUUAAAUGUAAAAUGAUCACAUAAAGUUCUAUAGGACGGUUCUGGUCUGGACCAUGAGAGAUUAUAAGAUUGAAAGAUUUUGUUAACCACAUGCAAAUGCUAGUCUGUUAUUAUUUUCCUCGGGAUCAGAAUAGG